ACUCAAAGGAAUUGACGGGGACUCGCACAAGCGGUGGAGCAUGAGGUUUAAUUCGAUGAUAAGCGAGGAACCUUACCAGGGCUUGAAAUCCUAUGGCAAGCCAGCCGAAAGGUUGGCCCUCCUUCGGGACCGUAGGACAGGUGCUGCAUGGUUGUCGUCAGCUCGUGUCUUGAGAUGUUCCGUUAAGUCGGUUAACGAGCGCAACCCCUACCCCCUGUUACAAGUGUCAGUGGGAACUGCCCAACUCUGUUGGGAGGAAGGAGGGGACGACGUCAAAUCAGCAUGGCCCUCUGAUGCCCUGGGCUACACUCGUGCUACAAUGGCCGUUACAAUGGGUUGCCAAGCCGCAAGGCGGAGCUAAUCCCAUCAAAGACGGCCCCAGUUCGGAUUGAAGGCUGCAACUCGCCUUCAUGAAGCCGGAAUCGCUAGUAAUCGCGGAUCAGCCAUGCCGCGGUGAAUACGUUCUCGAGUCUUGUACACACCGCCCGU
rnacentral:rRNA from 1 species